rnacentral:rRNA from 1 species
AAUGAACGUUGGCGGCGUGGAUUAGGCAUGCAAGUCGUACGCACAGCUUCGGCUGUGAGUGGCGCAAGGGUGAGUAAUGCGAAGGUAACCAACCCUGGAGUUGGGCAUAACCGCGGGAAACUGCGGGUAAUUCCCAGCGAUGUCGCGAGAUGGCAUCAUCUUGCGACCAAAAGGUGUGAUUCCGCUCUAGGACGGGCCUUCGUGGUAUUAGGUAGUUGGUGAGGUAACGGCUCACCAAGCCGACGAUGCCUACCGGGUGUGAGAGCAUGACCCGGCACACUGGAACUGAGACACUGUCCAGACACCUACGGGUGGCUGCAGUCGAGAAUCUUCGGCAAUGGGCGAAAGCCUGACCGAGCGACGCCGCG